rnacentral:rRNA from 1 species
UACGUAGGGACCGAGCGUUGUCCGGAAUCAUUGGGCGUAAAGAGCGUGUAGGCGGCCUUUUAAGUCCUGCGUGAAAUCCUGCGGCUCAACCGCAGACGGUCGUGGGAAACUGGAAGGCUAGAGUGCGGGAGAGGAGAGUGGAAUUCCCGGUGUAGCGGUGAAAUGCGCAGAUAUCGGGAAGAACACCCGUGGCGAAGGCGGCUCUCUGGAACGCAACUGACGCUGAGACGCGAAAGCCAGGGGAGCAAACGGG